AGUGAACGCUGGCGGUAGGCCUAACACAUGCAAGUCGAACGGCAGCACAGUAAGCGUUUGCCUUUAAGGUUGGCGAGUGGCGGACGGGUGGGGCAUACAUCGCAAUCUUCUUUUUCGUGGGGGAUAACGUGGGGACACUUCCGAUACUACCGCAUAUAUUCUACGGGUGAGAGCAGGAGAUCUUCGCACCUUUCGCGACUGAAUGAGACGAUGCCGCAUUAGCUAGUUGGCGGGGUAAGGGCACACCAAGGCGACGAUCCGUAGCUGGUCUGAGAGGAUGAUCAGCCACACUGGAACUGAGACACGGUCCAGACUCCUACGGGAGGCAGCAGUGGGGAAUAUUGGACAAUGGGCGCAAGCCUGAUCCAGCCAUACCGCGUGAGUGAAGAAGGCCUUCGGGUUGUAAAGCCCUUUUGUUGGGAAAGAAAAGCAGCAGGUUAAUACCCCGCUGUUCUGACGGUACCCAAAGAAUAAGCACCGGCUAACUUCGUG
rnacentral:rRNA from 1 species